UACGAGGGGGGCGAGCGUUGUUCGGAAUCACUGGGCGUAAAGGGCGCGUAGGCGGCAUGCCAAGCGUGUGGUGAAAGCCCGGGGCUCAACCCCGGGUCGGCCGCUGCGGACUGGCGUGCUCGAGCACUGUAGGGGCGGUGGAAUUCCGGGUGUAGGCGGUGGAAUGCGUAGAGAGUCCGGAAGAACACCGGUGGCGAAGGCGGC
rnacentral:rRNA from 1 species